rnacentral:rRNA from 1 species
CAAUAGCGUAUAUUAAAGUUGUUGCAGUUAAAAAGCUCGUAGUUGGAUCUUAGGAUCGGGCUGGCGGUCCACCGCAAGGUGUGCUACUGCUAGUCUCGACCUGCUAGUCGGUUUGCCCUGGGUGCUCUUGACUGAGUGCACUGGGUGGCCGGCACGUUUACUUUGAAAAAAUUGGAGUGUUUAAAGCAGGCUUUCGCCUGAACAACUUUGCAUGGAAUAAUGGAAGAGGACCUCGGUUCUAUUUUGUUGGUUUUCGGAGCACGAGGUAAUGAUUAAGAGGGACAGACGGGGGCAUUCGUAUUGCUGCGUUAGAGGUGAAAUUCUUGGAUCGCAGCAAGACGCACUACUGCGAAAGCAUUUGCCAAGAAUGUUUUCAUUAA